GUGGGGAAUAUUGGACAAUGGGCGAAAGCCUGAUCCAGCCAUGCCGCGUGUGUGAAGAAGGUCUUCGGAUUGUAAAGCACUUUAAGUUGGGAGGAAGGGCAGUAAGUUAAUACCUUGCUGUUUUGACGUUACCGACAGAAUAAGCACCGGCUAACUUCGUGCCAGCAGCCGCGGUAAUACGAAGGGUGCAAGCGUUAAUCGGAAUUACGGGGCGGAAAGCGCGCGUCGGGGGUUUUGUAAGUUGGAGGUGAAAUCCCCGGGCUCAACCUGGGAACUGCCUCCAAAACUGCAUGACUAGAGUACGGUAGAGGGUAGUGGAAUUUCCUGUGUAGCGGUGAAAGGCGUAGAUAUAGGAAGGAACACCAGUGGCGAAGGCGACUACCUGGACUGAUACUGACACUGAGGUGCGAAAGCGUGGGGAGCAAACAGGAUUAGAAACCCCAGUAGUCC
rnacentral:rRNA from 1 species